rnacentral:rRNA from 1 species
GUUCCAGCAGCCGCGGUAAUACGAAGGGGGCUAGCGUUGUUCGGAAUUACUGGGCGUAAAGGGCGCGUAGGCGGUGCCUCAAGUCAGGCGUGAAAGCCCCGGGCUCAACCUGGGAACCGCGCUUGAGACUGGAGUACUAGAGUUCGGGAGAGGAUGGUGGAAUUCCCAGUGUAGAGGUGAAAUUCGUAGAUAUUGGGAAGAACACCGAUGGCGAAGGCAGCCAUCUGGACCGACACUGACGCUGAGGCGCGAAAGCGUGGGGAGCAAACAGGAUUAGAAACCCUUGUAGUCC